AGGCAGCAGUGGGGAAUUUUGGGCAAUGGGCGAAAGCCUGACCCAGCAACGCCGCGUGAAGGAUGAAGUAUUUCGGUAUGUAAACUUCGAAAGAAUGGGAAGAAUAAAUGACGGUACCAUUUAUAAGCUCCGGCUAACUACGUGCCAGCAGCCGCGGUAAUACGUAGGGAGCAAGCGUUGUUCGGAUUUACUGGGCGUAAAGGGCGCGUAGGCGGCGCGGUAAGUCAGCUGUGAAAUCUCCGAGCUUAACUCGGAACGGCCAGCUGAUACUGCAGUGCUAGAGUGCGGAAGGGGCAAUCGGAAUUCUUGGUGUAGCGGUGAAAUGCGUAGAUAUCAAGAGGAACACCUGAGGUGAAGACGGGUUGCUGGGCUGACACUGACGCUGAGGCGCGAAAGCCAGGGGAGCAACAGGAUUAGAUACCCCGGUAG
rnacentral:rRNA from 1 species